ensembl:lncRNA
GAAACGCGAGGGAGAACCACAGAUUCGUGCGGAGUUGUGUUUUCAUACACACACUCAUGCACGUGGCAGUAAAUCAUUAAAGAGCAGUCUGAGUUUAUGGUAAAGUGCACGUAUGAAAGGUGGAGCAACACUUCCAAUGAUUUAUUCAGUGAGUGUAAUAUCCAUGGCAUCAUUUAUGAGGCGGUGCGUUUGCGUGUGCGACGGGCACAAGAAGAGGCCACGCUGAUCAUAUUGGGAAAUAUUUUACGCGAUAAGUUUGCAAAUUGGGACUUUUUACACCUUGACUUCAUUUUACAUCCACACAAAGACUGGGAUGAAAAAUAAUGGCUCAGCGUGCAACGUCCAUUUUGCAGCAAGUGAGAGGAAAAAAAGACGAAGAUGCCAUUUGCAGUCCAGUGUUGCGAGGUUGGAGGAGGGAGUCCACGGCCGAGAGGAGCAGAGAUGCGAGAGGCGACCUGCCUGUGACCUCUCAGGUCUCUUUCAGCUCAUCUACUCUUCUCAGAGAGGAACCUUCCUAAAUUCUAUUCAGCUGGAGGGUGAAGACGCGAGCGGGUGAACUAAAUGCUGCAGCGUCACGUCACCUUCUGUCAGGAAAUGGCCGGUUUACGUGGCUUGAAGGACACGUGGUGACAUCAGCGGCGGUACAAAUAGAGGAGUUUAAUCCGCGUGUCAUCCCCCGGCCUCGGAGCACAUCCUGUCCCGGCUGCUUUGAAGAAAACGCGGGAUUUGCGAAAGUGGCCUCUGGACAGGAGGUCCGUCUGGGCCACCGGGUCAGCCGGUCGGCCUCGUCCAGGUCGGGGUCCUGACUCAGG